CGUGUAGGCGGUCAUUUAAGUCUGGAGUGAAAGUCCUGCAUUCAAUGUGGGAAUUGCUUUGGAUACUGGAUGACUUGAGUGCGGAAGAGGUAAGUGGAAUUCCCAGUGUAGCGGUGAAAUGCGUAGAGAUUGGGAGGAACACCAGUGGCGAAGGCGACUUACUGGGCCGUAACUGACGCUGAGGCGCGAAAGCGUGGGGAGCGAACA
rnacentral:rRNA from 1 species